rnacentral:rRNA from 1 species
AGUGAACGCUGGCGGUAUGCCUAACACAUGCAAGUCGAACGGCAGCACAGUAAGAUCUUGCCCUUACCGUUGGCGAGUGGCGGACGGGUGAGGCAUACAUCGCAAUCUACUUUUUCGUGGGUGAUUACGUAAGGCAACUUACGCUACUACCGCAUAUGUUCUACGGGUUAGAUCAAUGGUUCUUCGCGCCUUUCGUGUUUGUAUUAGCUGAUUUCGCACUAGCUAGUUGGCGUGGUAAAGGCCCACCAAGGCGACGAUCCGUAGCUGGUCUGAGAGGAUGAUCAGCCACACUGGAACUGAGACACGGUCCAGACUCCUACGGGAGGCAGCAGUGGGGAAUAUUGGGCAAUGGGCGAAAGCCUGAUCCAGCCAUACCGCGUGAGUGAAGAAGGUCUUCGGGUCGUAAAGCCCUUUUAUUAGGAAAGAAAAGCAGUAGAAUAAAACCUCGAUGUUUUGACGGUACCCAAAGAAUAAGCACCGGCUAACUUCGUG